AGCCUAUUAAUGAGGGGAGGAAAAGAAACUAACAAGGAUUUUCCUAGUAGCGGCGAGCGAAAAGAAAAUAGUUCAGCACUAAGUCACUUUGUCUUUAUGGCAAAUGUGAGAUGCAGUGUAUGGAAUGUCAAAUUUCUAGUAUGAGAAAUUAACGAUUUAAGUCCUUCUUAAAUGAGGCCAUUUACCCAUAGAGGGUGCCAGGCCCGUAUAACGUUAAUGAUUACUAGAUGGCAUUUCCAAAGAGUCGUGUUGCUUGAUAGUGCAGCACUAAGAGGGUGGUAAACUCCAUCUAAAACUAAAUAUAACCAUGAGACCGAUAGUAAACAAGUACCGUGAGGGAAAGUUGAAAAGAACUCUGAAUAGAGAGUUAAAUAGUACGUGAAACUGCUUAGAGGUUAAGCCCGAUGAACCUGAAUAUCCGUUAUAGAAAAUUCAUCAUUAUGAUUUUAGUAUUAUAAAUAUUAAAAUAAUGUUGUGCAUUUUUUCUAUAGAGGACAUUGUAAUCUAUUAACAUAAAAAUUUAAUUUAUCAUAAGAUCAGUAUGCGAAAGUUUAUUCAAAUUAUUUUGCUUGCAAUUUAACAUAGAAUAAAUGCUCUGAUUUGAUAAAGUGUUGAUAGAUUUAUAACAUAUAGUGCUUAAAUAUAUAUAUUUUAUAGUAGCAUAUUAGUUUUUAAUUCUUAUGUUUACUAUAUGCACUUAUAUGAUUAACAAUGCGAAAGAUUCAGGAAACCUUCGGGACCCGUCUUGAAACACGGACCAAGGAGUCUAACAUAUUUGCAAGUUAUUGGGAAUAAAAACCUAAUAGCAUAAUUAACAUAACUUAAUAAUGGGAUUAGUUUUUAGCCUAUUUAUAGUCUAUUAAUUCAAUCCCGGGGCGUUCUAUAUGGUUAUGUAUAAUAAUAUUUAUAUUAUUUAUACCUCUAACUAGAACGUACCUUGAGCAUAUAUGCUGUGACCCGAAAGAUGGUGAACUAUACUUGAUCAGGUUGAAGUCAGGGGAAACCCUGAUGGAAGACCGAAACAGUUCUGACGUGCAAAUCGAUUGUCAGAAUUGAGUAUAGGGGCGAAAGACCAAUCGAACCAUCUAGUAGCUGGUUCCCUCCGAAGUUUCCCUCAGGAUAGCUGGUGCAUUUAAAAAUUGUGUAAAAUAAUCUUAUCUGGUAAAGCGAAUGAUUAGAGGCCUUAGGGUCGAAACGAUCUUAACCUAUUCUCAAACUUUAAAUGGGUAAGAACCUCACCUUUCUUGGUAUGAAGGUUGUGGUUGUGAUAUAAUGUGCCCAGUGGGCCACUUUUGGUAAGCAGAACUGGCGCUGUGGGAUGAACCAAACGUAAUGUUACGGUGCCCAAAUUAACAACUCAUGCAGAUACCAUGAAAGGCGUUGGUUGCUUAAAACAGCAGGACGGUGGACAUGGAAGUCGUAAUCCGCUAAGGAGUGUGUAACAACUCACCUGCCGAAGCAACUAGCCCUUAAAAUGGAUGGCGCUUAAGUUGUAUACCUAUACAUUACCGCUAAAGUAGAUGGUUUAUGUUCAAUCUCGGUUGGAUUAUAAAUUUUGAAACUUUAGUGAGUAGGAGGGUACUAUGGUGUGCAUAGAAGUGUUUGGCGUAAGCCUGCAUGGAGCUGCCAUUGGUACAGAUCUUGGUGGUAGUAGCAAAUAAUCGAAUGAGACCUUGGAGGACUGAAGUGGAGAAGGGUUUCGUGUGAACAGUGGUUGAUCACGAGUUAGUCGGUCCUAAGUUUAAGGCGAAAGCCGAAAAUUUUCAAGUUAUAAUGAAAGGUAAAUUUAUUUACAUAGUAAUUAAACACUUGAAUAAUUUUGAACGAAAGGGAAUACGGUUCCAAUUCCGUAACCUGUUGAGUAUCCGUUUGUUAUUAAAUAUGGGCCUUGUGCUCAUCCUGGCAACAGGAACGACCAUAAAGAAGCCGUCGAGAGGUAUCGGAAGAGUUUUCUUUUCUGUUUUAUAGUCGUACCACCAUGGAAGUCUUUCGAAGAGAGAUAUGGUAGAUGGACUAGAAGAGCAUGACAUUUACUGUUGUGUCGAUAUUUUCUCCUCGGACCUUGAAAAUUUAUGGUGGGGUCACGCAAACUUCUCAACAGGCCGUACCAAUAUCCGCAGCUGGUCUCCAAGGUGAAGAGUCUCUAGUCGAUAGAAUAAUGUAGGUA
rnacentral:rRNA from 1 species